GCUUCACUUAAUUCCAAUAGUAAAUGAACACUUAUAUUAGAUUUGAGAGAGGAUUGGAAACAGUCCGUGAAAUAUCAAUUGAUCUUAUGUAUGCAAAUUAUAAAGAUAGUAACUUGGUGUUUUAGAUUUUUAAACACAGUAAGUGCAGAUCAUCACACAAACGUAUUUCCUGACCAACGGAAAUAUUUUAUAGAUUUUUAAUGUUUACAGGUCGCGUAUUGAAGAAAGAGUUUUAUUCAUGUGGUACUUGUAAGUUUUACUCAUGUGGUACAGUGAACUAGGGUCUGGUAUUUUGGUAUAGAGAAUUUAAAAUCUAAAAAUGCUUGUAUUCGUCUUUGACUUCAGAGUUUAACGCAGAGAUCAAUCGUUCAGCAUUUAUCACUGUAUUUAUUAGUUUUAAAGCAUGCCUCUGAGCCAUAUGGCCGAUGUUUUGACAUAAUUUUGAUAUCUAUAUUUGGACAAUUGCAAAAGGAAUUGUAUCUAUAUGUCCAGCAUGUCUAGGUGAACGGGCAAAUUCAACAUCUAUGAUUGACCUUUUGGUAUUAAAUGGCCUCUCAAUCUUGUUGGAUUAAACUCUUCGACUGAAAAUCAGUUUGUUCAAAAUAUUAUGGAAGGUGGAAAAACCUGUAUUAAAGAGAAAACCAAUACCUGUAUCGUGAAGUUCUUUGACAAAACCAACCUGUACAAUCGGAGAAUUAUAUGCAUGGUGAUGUUGGCAUUCGCUGGGUGUUUACGUAGCAAGAACUCAUUAAGGAAGUUAGCUCCUGAGCUUUUGAACACAACUGCGCAGAAUGCUACAACAAAGUAUUUACUGGUUCAAUACUGGUCCCAUUGGACAUAUUACACAUCUAUUACUGAAUCCUAUUCAGUUAAAAAAAAAUUAUGACUAUUCAAAUUUUGAAAGGGUUUUGCAGGGACUACAUUUUGUAGCGGAAGGAUUGAUUGAUUAAUCAAAAAGUCUACAAAAUUAGGACCUAUGCUUGGCGCUUUCCGCCUUCGAGCAGGGAGGAAUCUUUAUCGUGCCACACCUGCUGUAACUUUGUGGUCCUAUCCGAAGGACCGCCCCAUUUAGUCGCCUCUUACGACAAGCAAUGGGUAUUGAGGAUCUAUUCCAACCUGGAUACCCAGGGGAAGAUAAUUAUAGGGGUGGAGCUAGAGUUAGAACUUUUUUGGAACUAGAGUUGUUGGCAAGAACUUUUUAUAUAUAUGCGUCAUUUUUCUAAUUUUGAGUUAUAUCUUCGUUUAACCGGGGUUACAAACGAUUCAUUGGAUUUUGUGGUAUUCCAAAUCGGUAAAUGGAUACAAGUUGUGGUAAACCCUUGUCCUACACCUGAAUUCGAGAAAUAUUCAUCGAAGUGUUGACAGGUAUUGUUUUACAAUGAAAGAUUACGGUUUGAUUUGGUUGUGUUCGGGUGGUGCAACUGCUUCUCUGGUACGGGGAAUUCCGGUCAGGAAACGACAUGAACGUUCGGAGUCGGCAAUUGAUUGCUCUAUUCACGAUCCGGUAUAUGUGAUCAUUUACGUGUUUCCAAGAAUAUUGCAUUGAUUUGUAAUAAUUGUUAUUGUAUGUGUAUUUAUCAUAAUUACUACUCUAUAUUAAAGUUAUUUACCGGUCGCGGUGGCUCAAUGGUAGAGCGUUCGCUUCGUAACCGGAAGGUCGUGAGUUUGGGCCCCGUUCGUGCCAUGGCCACUUCAAACCGAAGACGUAGUGAUUGCUCUUUCGCCAAACGUUCGGAAUUUUGAAGUGAGAAUCACGGGUCUUUCGGAAAUGACCUUUAAAAAAGGAUGUCCCUUGUCGCGACAGACGUUGACACGUUAAAGAACCCUCACUGCUAUGGCAGUAAAUAUAUGCAUAGAUCAAGAUAGUACUUCACCUAUAGUGGUGGCAUCUUAAUAUGGGUCGACGGGAAGUAAAACACAGAAACACCAACAAAAUUAACAAUAAAGUUGUUUAUAAGCAUUUAGUCGGAUUAAUUAUAAUAUUAAGUAAUUUUGUUUUCCUCUGUUUCCCGCGCUUUGUAUCUAUAGAUGUUGCGUGUCGUUGCUACAAUAUGCAAUUCCUGUUAGUUUUUUGCUGUUAAUUUUAUGCUUUCAUUUUUAAAGGAGAGAUACGAUUUCUUUCGAUUGACGUACGAAUUAGAGAGAUCACGUUCUAUCUGGUAUUAUAAUGAAUUUCCUAUUCCUAAUUACAAGGUUUUCAUUGGAAUACCUGGUUUAUACGUUUUGUUACGUCUCUUUAGAUCCGGUUGCAGUAGCAAUGUAGAGGUGAAAAGUUGUUUAUUACCAGAUAAGGAUGGUACACGUUAAAUUUUAAUUACAAAACAUCCAAUUCGUCCUAUUCCAUGCCAUAGUUGACAUGUACAGGUCUUUACCCCCUACAAUACUGUUUAAAAAACGACCAGUUUACCUGACAGACGCUUGAGAACGGAGAAAAAGCCGACAGGUGGAGGAAUGGUGCAAUUUGAGACGUUGGAAUGCCACAUUUCGCGAUUUUAGGAGAUACAGUUUUCUUAAUAUCUGAACAUGAAAGCAUCGUAUAAAGAACCGCAUGUAACCGGCUACUAACAAAAAGAAACUCGUUUCUCUUGUACACUCGUAUGACACAACUUGUGAUUUUGUGAGGUGUUCGCACACAGUCGCAAGUCACAGAGAGGAAAAACCUCGUAACCCUGUGAGAACCAGUUAGCAUCAGUUCUCAUCAAUGAAAAUUCGAGAUCACACAGUCUCGGUAAGAUUGAGGGGAUUCAAAGGCAUGUUUUGCAGUCAAGUUAAUUUUUGCAGAGGUCUCUACGUUGAAAAAUAUCACUAACCUCAUGGUCUAGAACUAUACUGCAAAUUGCACUAUUCUUCGCCAUGACAUCGCCAAGAUUGAGCAGCUAUGGUACGCCAUUUUGCAAGAAAGGAGUUUUUUAAUCCGCAAAUACAAAUAUUUAAUAAACAAGAAAGCUCAAGAAGAAGUACACGCGAGGUUAUAGAGAUCGCAAUUGACAAUGCUUCACUCUCAGAUGCGCCGACAAAUGACUAGUCAACAUAUGAUGGGCUUUGUGAAUGGCCCACAAACUAGUCAACAUAUGAUGGGCUCUGUGAAUGAACAGAGUAAUCUUGUUGACAAUGAAAAAUCUGACUUUCCGCAGUGACCCUUGCCACAAGACAGAUUGUCUUCCACAGCACUGUUCCUAAAGAUACAGAAAAUUAUUAUCAACUACCACCUCUAUAAUCUUCUCCAAAUAUCAUACCCACUCAAUGACAUACUUACACACUGAUCAACCACAAGAUAAUGUAUUUGCUCACUAUGAAAUUAAAUCCUAUAGCAGAAACUUACAUACCAUAACGUUACCUGCGGAGAAAAUCUUAAUAUCUUCAGGAUUCACGACAUUUAAUGGUAAUCUACAACUUACUAUGCAUGGAAUGUCAGCUGUGAGAAUAUGAGGUCUGAAUUACACCUCUCUAAUUGAAAAAAAUAUUAAUGUUUUCUUCAUGUGGUGCGGUCUACAGUAAAAAAAAAAAAAAAAAAAAAAAAAAGAAAGAAGUAAAGGCGAAAGAGUUAAUACCCCACACAGCAAUAACCUGAUAUAGAGACAGCUGCGUUGUUGCUACGGAAGCCCAG